AUCUGGAGAGGAUGCUUCUGGCGCGGUGCCUUCCGAGUUCCCUGGAACGGGACGCCGGAGAGGGUGAGAGCCCCGUACGGUUGGACACCUAGCCUCUGUGAAGCUCCUUCGACGAGUCGAGUAGUUUGGGAAUGCUGCUCAAAAUGGGAGGUAAAUUUCUUCUAAAGCUAAAUAUUGGCCAGAGACCGAUAGCGCACAAGUAGAGUGAUCGAAAGAUGAAAAGCACUUUGAAAAGAGAGUUAAAAAGUACGUGAAAUUGUUGAAAGGGAAGCGCCCGUGGCCAGACUUGCGCUGCGCGGACCACCCAGCGUUCUCGCUGGUGCACUCCGCGCGGCGCAGGCCAGCAUCGGUUUUCCUAGGGGGAUAAAGGUCGCGGGAACGUAGCUCCUCCGGGAGUGUUAUAGCCCGUGGCGUCAUGCCCCUGGGGGGACCGAGGACCGCGCUUCGGCAAGGAUGCUGGCGUAAUGGCCACCGGCGACCCGUCUUGAAACACGGACCAAGGAGUCAAGCAUUGGGGCGAGUGUCUGGGUGUCAAACCCGCACGCGAAAUGAAAGUGAACGCAGGUGAGAGCUUCGGCGCAUCAUCGACCGAUCCUGAUGUUCUCGGAUGGAUUUGAGUAAGAGCCUUACCGCUUGGACCCGAAARAUGGUGAACUAUGCCUGUAUAGGGUGAAGCCAGAGGAAACUCUGGUGGAGG
rnacentral:rRNA from 1 species